rnacentral:rRNA from 1 species
CGGAGAGUGCAAACGUUGUUCGGAUUCACUGGGCGUAAAGGGCACGUAGGCGGCUCGGCAAAUCGGUCGUGGAAUCUCGACGCUUACCGUCGAAACGGCGGCCGAAAAUACCGGGCUCGAGGGCGUGAGGGGUCACUGGAACUCCUGGUGAAGCGGUGAAAUGCGUAGAUAUCAGGAGGAACGCCGGAGGCGAAACGAGUGACUGGCGCGUUCCUGACGCUGAGGUGCGAAAGCUAGGGGAGCAAACAGGAUUAGAUACCCUGGUAGUCCUAGCCGUAAACGAUGGACACUGAGUGAAGGAGGGCUUGCCCUUCUUUGCUGCAGCUAACGCGUUAAGUGUCCCGCCUGGGGAGUACGGCCGCAAGGUUA